rnacentral:misc_RNA from 1 species
GCGCAUAACACGGAAUUUCCGUGAUAUUGCUGUACUAUAUACGCAGAUCAUUUGUUAGCUGGUGCAGCUGGUUGCUGGAUGUAUGUGGUAUCACUACAAUCCAAUCCAAGGCACUCGACCUGAACUAUUCAGUACCAGUGGUGAGAGGCAAACAUCAGGAGCUGUGUCAUUUUAUCUACAUGUAAUCCAAUUUGAAGGACAUUCAAGUUCUAAUCAGGAACAAAACUUCAGAAAUAUCCAAUAGGAAAGAAUCAUUCACUGGCAAACUUGGUGGAGGAAGCAGGGAGUUGUACAGGAAGGAAGCCGUAUAGUUGUAUUUUGUGGGGGUUCUUUCCCUCCUGUUUUGGUCACAUAAAAGUGCCGUUCAGUUCGUCAGUGCUUCGGCCUCAGUAGCCUAUAAUGAGGAAAGCAGACAGGCUGGUCUGAAGAAUUGAUCACAACUAAUGAUUUGCCUUGCACGAUUGAAAAAAAGAAAUAUUUGAAAUUGACUUUUAGCAUUGUGGGAUUCCUGAUAAAGAAGUCAUACUGCAUCUUCAUUAAAGCAUUUUUUGUUGAACUGAAAUGCUGCCUGGAAAGUGACUGAGCAAGAAGUGAAGAGGCUGUUGAGAUAUUUUGUAAAAAGGGAUUAAGCCCUCACAUCAGUCGGAGGAACCCUAGUGCAGUAUAGUUUGAACAAAUCCUGGACAAUUAAUUUUCUUGUCAUGGAGAUGGAAAUGGAGCCAGGAGUUCUGCUCAUUACAGCUAAUGUGGGCUCAAUAUUUGAAGAGCCUGUACACAUGAUGUCAGUCUGGUUAGACAAAUUAUAUGAGACAAUAAAAAGAUUGGAGCCCAAGUUUAUUGCCCUUCAUUGCCAAGAACUCGGAGGGAAGAACUAUGAAUCCAGCAUGCAACACGUAGACAACUUUCUGCAGAAACUUUACGACAGUGAAGCGUUCCAAGAUUUUGAUCGAUCAAGCAUCUUUCUUGACAAGGAAUUCAAGACCCCAGAGUGUUUUACAGCAUUAGGCAGUUUUUAUUUCAUUCACAAGUCACUCAAAGAUGCACAGUGCUAUGACUAUAAAGAUUGUAAGUACCGAGAUCUCUCUGGUCAUGAGGAAUACUCCAGCAACCUUGCCAAAGUCACAACUCAAGAGAAGCUCAAAUUCCCCUCUCAUUUCUUUCCAGAGUGCAAGUGGUCAAGAAAAGGUUUCAUGAGAACAAGAUGGAGCAUUAAUGGAAGGCAAUUUGAACUGGUCAAUGUGCACCUGUUCCACGAUGCAAACAACGUCAUCGCCGUGGAAACGCAAUUCCCAUCACAAUACAGUAAAACAAGGAGAAAAGCAUUAGAAUUUGUUAUUCAGAGACUUUCACAAGAGAAGCACAGUAGAGUACCAUUCUUCAUCUUUGGAGAUUUCAACUUCAGGUUAGAUGCCCAGGGUGUAGUCAAGGCUCUUGUCUUACAAGCAAAGCCAAAAUAUACCAAGAAAGAUGGUGCCAUCACGAGAAUAGAAUAUUCAGAUGAAGAUAAUGCUCAGGUCUUGUUAACGUUAGAAAAGAAGAAGUUUGAAAUGGAUGAUCCAGAUAGAAUAUUGUCAUAUGGAAUUCAGUGGUUGUCAAGGUUUGACAAGGAAUUUAGCUGCUUCUCUAAACAACUCUCAGAAUUUGAUGUCACAUUUAACCCGAGCUAUCCAUACAGUGAAGAUAUAUCAGAUGGUCACAGCUACAUGAAGACAAGACCACCAGCGUGGUGUGACAGAGUCUUUAUGUCACACUCAGCUAAGAGUCUCAUAUCGGAUGCAAAUUCAAGACCAAGCUACAAUGUAAUUGGUCAAGAUGUGUGUAUGGGAGACCACAAGCCCGUCUUCCUCCACUUCCCCUUGUCAAAGAGCGGUGCUAAUAUAUCAGGUAAUGGUCACGCCACGCGGCAAGUGCGCCGUAAAUGCUGUUGCCUGUUGCAAUGACACCAGUCUUCCUGCCACUCCACCACCACCAUCCCGCCUUCUUACAAACCUCAUUCCAGUCUCUUGUCUUCCUCCUGUUGCUCGGUGUUUUAUAUAUUUGAUAUUGGUGUAGAUGUAUAUUUGGUGAAUGCUUGUGUUAUCCUGCCACGCCCUUCCAACAGUCGUAACCACCCCCUCUGCAGUUGUCUUCCUCUUCAACCCGUCUUCUUCUUCGUCUACUCCCUCUUAAUAGUCUGGUGCCUCAGUGCUUGUGUGGCCAUUGCGAAUUCGCUACAAGUACAACUACCACUACACACGAUCAGAGCGCCCUCAUGUGCUGAUAUAUCGUGAGACAUCUG